ACUGAAAGCAGCAUUCAUCCAUUGCUAUAAACAUAAAUAUUUAGAAGGGAGGUUGGUACCAUGUCAGUUUAGCUAAACGAUUAGUUUAAUUCCCACUUAAGGCCUGUAACUUCCUCAGAGCCAUGGGUUUUUGAUUGGGUUUAUAGUCCCAGGCGUGAAUCCUCCCCUCGCAUACAAUCAUCAAGUGGUUGAUUAGCCCCAUAAAAGUAAACUGCCAUACUACUAUUGCAGCAGUGGACACACCUUGGCUGGCAGGUUGGGCAUAUAGUUUGUACGGUUCACAGCUGGGUAGGACAGAGAUGCCUUUUCUCCUCUCACAAUGUACAUGGCACCUUCUGAUACCCUGUGAACAUGUGAGCAGGGGGGAAACUUAGAGCUCAGUUCCAGCUUGAUCUGUCUUGCAACAAAGGUAUGUGGUGUCUUCAGCAGUAGAAUCUUAUCAUGUAGUAUUAUUGGUAGGCAGUCGGAAACUUGAAAUCUUAAAGAAAAUAAAAAGUGGCCUUUGUACAGACUUUCUAAAGAUGUGGUUAUUUAUUUAUAGAAUAUUUGUUUUUAAUUGCAAAGUAGCAUACGGCUACAGGUAACAAUUUGAGACACUUCUAAAAAA
rnacentral:lncRNA from 1 species